rnacentral:rRNA from 1 species
GAUGAACGCUGGCGGCGUGCCUAAUACAUGCAAGUCGAGCGAACGGACGAGAAGCUUGCUUUUCUGAUGUUAGCGGCGGACGGGUGAGUAACACGUGGAUAACCUACCUAUAAGACUGGGAUAACUUCGGGAAACCGGAGCUAAUACCGGAUAAUAUUUUGAACCGCAUGGUUCAAAAGUGAAAGACGGUUUUGCUGUCACUUAUAGAUGGAUCCGCGCUGCAUUAGCUAGUUGGUAAGGUAACGGCUUACCAAGGCAACGAUGCAUAGCCGACCUGAGAGGGUGAUCGGCCACACUGGAACUGAGACACGGUCCAGACUCCUACGGGAGGCAGCAGUAGGGAAUCUUCCGCAAUGGGCGAAAGCCUGACGGAGCAACGCCGCGUGAGUGAUGAAGGUCUUCGGAUCGUAAAACUCUGUUAUUAGGGAAGAACAUAUGUGUAAGUAACUGUGCACAUCUUGACGGUACCUAAUCAGAAAGCCACGGCUAACUACGUG